UUUUAACCGCUUUUUCGUAAAUCUUGGUUAUCAUUUACAAAAAUCUUCUCCUCUGAAACUACUGGGCCAAAUUAAUCCAAACUUGGCCACAAUCAUCUUUGGGGUAUCUAGUUUAAAAAAUGUGUCUGGUGACCCGGGCAUCAAAUCAAGAUGGCCGCCACAGCUAGAAAUAGAACAUAGGGGUAAAAUGCAGUUUUUGGCUUAUAACUCAAAAACCAAAGCAUUUAGAGCAAAUCUGACAUGAGGGUAAAAAUGUUUAUCAGGUCAAGAUCUAUCUGCCCUGAAAUUUUCAGAUGAAUCAGACAACCUGUUGUUGGGUUGCUGCCCCUGAAUCGGUAAUUUUAAGGAAAUUUUGCUUAUUUUGGUUAUUAUCUUGAAUAUUAUUAUAGAUAGAGAUAAACUGUAAACAGCAAUAAUGUUCAGCAAAGUAAGAUUUACAAAUAAGUCAAAAUGACCGAAAUGGUCAAUUGACCCCUAAGGAGUUAUUGUCCUUUAUAGUCAAUUUUUAACAAUUUUCAUAAAAUUUGUAAAUUUUUAUUAACAUUUUCCACUGAAACUACUGGGCCAAGUUCAUUAUAGAUAGAUAAUUGUAAGCAGC
rnacentral:lncRNA from 1 species